GUUGCUCAAGUUACUGCUGUAGAUCCUGAUUUGAAUAGCCCGCUGACCUCCAGAAUAACAUACAGAAUAACUGCUGGAAACAUUAAUAACAUUUUCACAAUAAAAUCUGACAGUGGCUAUGUCCACACGGCCAAGUUGCUUGAUUUUGAGACAAUGAGGGCGUUCUCACUCCAGAUUGAAGCCGCUGACGUUGAUGGAAGGCUUGGCUUUGCUACACUUAAUGUAACGGUACUAGAUGUUAAUGAUAAUGACCCUGUGUUUCCCAAUGGUCCUUAUGAAUUUUCUUUUCCAGAAAAUGUUGGAUCUGGGUACUAUGUUGGAAGAUGUAUAGCAGUAGAUAAUGAUGCUGGCAGCGACACUUCACAGAUAAUUUACAG